rnacentral:sRNA from 1 species
UACCUGUCCCUUGUUCCCCUAGCUCCAGAACAGCUCCCAUGUGCAUAAUGGGAGUGCAGACUUUCCCCACACUGCCCUGUCAGUGUGCCUCAACUGUGAAGGUGGGACAUCCUUUAAGGGUAGAAAAGGAAUAAAGUCUCCAUGGCUUAU